rnacentral:rRNA from 1 species
CUCGGAGUUUGAUCCUGGCUCAGAUUGAACGCUGGCGGAAUGCUUUACACAUGCAAGUCGAACGGUAGAGGGGGCAACCCCUUGAGAGUGGCGAACGGGUGAGUAAUAUAUCGGAACGUGCCCAGUCGUGGGGGAUAACGUAGCGAAAGUUACGCUAAUACCGCGAUACGAUCUAAGGAUGAAAGCGGGGGACCGUAAGGCCUCGCGCGAUUGGAGCGGCCGAUAUCAGAUUAGGUAGUUGGUGGGGUAAAGGCUCACCAAGCCAACGAUCUGUAGCUGGUCUGAGAGGACGACCAGCCACACUGGAACUGAGACACGGUCCAGACU